rnacentral:misc_RNA from 1 species
CACUGCGAAGUCAGCAGGCUAAUCAUCCGGUUAGCAGGCGUUACAGUGGUGAAAUAGCAAGAAAUUUGCAUCCCGUUAUUUGCUUGAGACAGUUUUUGUUUCUGCUCUUUUCGGCGCGUUUUUCAUGGGACUGAGAGUUGGAGAUUAAGCACUGUUCGUUUACAGGAUCUUCCUGAUGUCAAUCCUUAGUCACCUUAGUUUAUGUCCCACACAGUC